rfam:Glossina palpalis gambiensis isolate 146720 unplaced genomic scaffold Scaffold1185, whole genome shotgun sequence.
AGUAUGCAAAGCAAUAUUGUAUGUGCAAAUUCGAUCAGGUCCGAAAGGAAGCAGUCGUAGCCCUUUCAAUAUGUGCUAAUGCAUACUGGA